AGUCGAACGGUGAAGCAGAGCUUGCUCUGUGGAUCAGUGGCGAACGGGUGAGUAACACGUGAGCAAUCUGCCCCUGACUCUGGGAUAAGCGCUGGAAACGGCGUCUAAUACCGGAUACGAGCUGCGACCGCAUGGUCAGUAGCUGGAAAGAAUUUCGGUCAGGGAUGAGCUCGCGGCCUAUCAGCUUGUUGGUGAGGUAAUGGCUCACCAAGGCGUCGACGGGUAGCCGGCCUGAGAGGGUGACCGGCCACACUGGGACUGAGACACGGCCCAGACUCCUACGGGAGGCAGCAGUGGGGAAUAUUGCACAAUGGGCGCAAGCCUGAUGCAGCAACGCCGCGUGAGGGAUGACGGCCUUCGGGUUGUAAACCUCUUUUAGCAGGGAAGAAGCGAAAGUGACGGUACCUGCAGAAAAAGCGCCGGCUAACUACGUGCCAGCAGCCGCGGUAAUACGUAGGGCGCAAGCGUUAUCCGGAAUUAUCGGGCGUAAAGAGCUCGUAGGCGGUCUGUCGCGUCUGCUGUGAAAACCCGAGGCUCAACCUCGGGCCUGCAGUGGGUACGGGCAGACUAGAGUGCGGUAGGGGAGAUUGGAAUUCCUGGUGUAGCGGUGGAAUGCGCAGAUAUCAGGAGGAACACCGAUGGCGAAGGCAGAUCUCUGGGCCGUAACUGACGCUGAGGAGCGAAAGGGUGGGGAGCAAACAGGCUUAGAUACCCUGGUAGUCCACCCCGUAAACGUUGGGAACUAGUUGUGGGGUCCAUUCCACGGAUUCCGUGACGCAGCUAACGCAUUAAGUUCCCCGCCUGGGGAGUACGGCCGCAAGGCUAAAACUCAAAGGAAUUGACGGGGACCCGCACAAGCGGCGGAGCAUGCGGAUUAAUUCGAUGCAACGCGAAGAACCUUACCAAGGCUUGACAUAUAGAGGAAACGUCUGGAAACAGUCGCCCCGCAAGGUCUCUAUACAGGUGGUGCAUGGUUGUCGUCAGCUCGUGUCGUGAGAUGUUGGGUUAAGUCCCGCAACGAGCGCAACCCUCGUUCUAUGUUGCCAGCACGUAAUGGUGGGAACUCAUGGGAUACUGCCGGGGUCAACUCGGAGGAAGGUGGGGAUGACGUCAAAUCAUCAUGCCCCUUAUGUCUUGGGCUUCACGCAUGCUACAAUGGCCGGUACAAAGGGCUGCAAUACCGUGAGGUGGAGCGAAUCCCAAAAAGCCGGUCCCAGUUCGGAUUGAGGUCUGCAACUCGACCUCAUGAAGUCGGAGUCGCUAGUAAUCGCAGAUCAGCAACGCUGCGGUGAAUACGUUCCCGGGUCUUGUACACACCGCCCGUCAAGUCAUGAAAGUCGGUAACACCUGAAGCCGGUGGCCCAACCCUUGUGGAGGGAG
rnacentral:rRNA from 1 species